UCAACCAGUCACGGAAUAUGUCCAUGAAUUUUGUAACGAUUAUGUUAUCAAAACAACGAUUGAGGGACGUUAUCAGGAAACUCUUUAUGCAGCAGCACGAACUGACGGCAACAGUGUAAAGUACAAAAUACUCGUGCAGCAGGAUUCGUGUGCAGCAUUUAUUUACAACAGUUCGAGUCGCGUUUGUUGUGGACGCAGUUCGACUUGGACCCGACACGCGUUACAAAUAAAUAAUUUACACGAUCGGUCUAUUUUCUACCGAAUUCUGAUUUAAAGCGUUAUCAGCAAUGACUUCGCCGGCAAUCAACAAUGGUAACGGGCAAAAGGAUUCGAAAUCGGCGUCCAAUGUGACCCUAUCCCAGUCAUCUAGGUCGGAACCGGCGAAUCCCCGCGGCUCCGUUUUUACCGCCUGGUGGCGCGUUUUCAAGCUAGUCAACACCAUGAUGAAGCCCAAUUGUUAGAUAUUUUAGUACAAACACUAUAAGGAUUGGAGGUUCACCCUUAGGAGUAGUUCUUCUACAUAUCGAUUGUAUUAUUGAUACCCUUCACGAAACGGGGGGUUUUGUAGUGCAUAGUUUUAUCUAGUCUGUUAUUUGUACUGUUUGUGUAUUGUAACAAUGAAAUGGGGUAAAUUUCACAAAACUACAAUACAAGAACUGUAUGUUAUAUAUUUUAUAAAUGGGUUAUUUUACGGGUUGAUUUUAGUUUAUUAUUUGGGUUGUUUGAAGAGUCGUUUGUCUUCCAUUUUUACAAGGACUAUUCAACAUGCCCAUCAUAAUUACAUUUAAGUUUCGUUGUAUAGAAUAAAAAAACUGUUUCCCAGAAUUGUUGCCAUAGAUUCUAACUUAGAUACUAAGUUCCAAAAUGCAAAACUAACACGAAAUGUAAUCUAUAUAUUUUUUUAACCCGUAUUUUUAUAAUCGCCGAAUUUUAACCAACUGGAUUUAUUUACUUUAUUUUUGUUUUAUUGUACUUUAAUUUUAUAAGUAACCUAAUAAUAUAUAUGUGAUAUAUUACUCUUCUCAUGUUUGUAUUGGAUUUUUGCAAGUUAAACAUUAUUUAUUAACUAAUAAACGUUCAAUCAACUGAAA